rnacentral:rRNA from 1 species
UGAAUACGAGAUGCUACGGCGUCGAAGCAGUGUAUGUCAGACUUCCAAGAAAAGCUCGCAAUGUCAUAAAUAAAGAAUGCCUGUACCAUAACCGACACAGGUGGGUAGGUAGAGUAUACUAAGGGGCGCGAGAUAACUCUCUCUAAGGAACUCGGCAAAAUGACUCCGUAACUUCGGGAGAAGGAGUGCCUUAUUUAUAAGGUUGCAAUAACAAGAUCCAAGCAACUGUUUAUCAAAAACACAGGUCUCCGCUAAGUCGUAAGACGAUGUAUGGGGGCUGACGCCUGCCCAGUGCCAGAAGGUUAAAGAAGUUGGUUAGUGUAUGCGAAGCUGAUGACUGAAGCCCUGGUGAACGGCGGCCGUAACGAUAACGGUCCUAAGGUAGCGAAAUUCCUUGUCGGGUAAGUUCCGACCCGCACGAAAGGCGUAAUGAUUUGGAUACUGUCUCUGAGAGAGGCUCGGUGAAAUAGACUUGUCUGUGAAGAUGCGGACUACCUGCACCAGGACAGAAAGACCCUAUGAAGCUUUACUGUAACUUGAAAUUGGAAUUGGACUUUGCUUGCGCAGUAUAGGUGGGAAGCGUUGAAAAUAUUCUUGCGGGAGUAUUGGAGCUAUCAGUGAGAUACCACUCUUGUAAUGUUAGAUUUCUAACUUUGAACCAUAAUCUGGUCAAAGAACAGUUUCAGGUGGGCAGUUUGACUGGGGCGGUCGCCUCCCAAAUGGUAACGGAGGCGUACAAAGGUUUCCUCUGAACGGAUAGAAAUCGUAUCUAGAGUGUAAAGGCAUAAGGAAGCUUGACUGUGAGACCUACAAGUCGAGCAGGGACGAAAGUCGGUCUUAGUGAUCUGACGGUACUGAGUGGAAAGGCCGUCACUCAACGGAUAAAAGUUACUCUAAGGAUAACAGGCUGAUCUCCCCCAAGAGUUCACAUCGACGGGGAGGUUUGGCACCUCGAUGUCGGCUCAUCGCAUCCUGGGGCGGUAGUACGUCCCAAGGGUUGGGCUGUUCGCCCAUGAAAGCGGUACGCGAGCUGGGUUCAGAACGUCGUGAGACAGUUCGGUCCAUAUCCGGUGUAGGCGCUAGAAUAUUGAGAGGAGCCUUCUUUAGUACGAGAGGACCGAGAAGGACACACCGCUGGUGUACCAGUUAUCGUGCCAACGGUAAACGCUGGGUAGCUAUGUGUGGAGUGGAUAACCGCUGAAAGCAUCUAAGUGGGAAGCCCACCUCGAGAUGAG